rnacentral:rRNA from 3 species
CGCGAGAGCAAGCGGACCUCAUAAAGUGCGUCGUAGUCCGGAUUGGAGUCUGCAACUCGACUCCAUGAAGUCGGAAUCGCUAGUAAUCGUGGAUCAGAAUGCCACGGUGAAUACGUUCCCGGGCCUUGUACACACCGCCCGUCACACCAUGGGAGUGGGUUGCAAAAGAAGUAGGUAGCUUAACCUUCGGGAGGGCGCUUACCACUUUGUGAUUCAUGACUGGGGUGAAGUCGUAACAAGGUAACCGUAGGGGAACCUGCGGUUGGA